rnacentral:rRNA from 1 species
CACUGCCUUACCAUGCAGUCGAACGGUAACAGGGAGCUUGCUCCGCUGACGAGUGGCGAACGGGUGAGUAAUACAUCGGAACGUGCCCAGUAAUGGGGGAUAGCUCGGCGAAAGCCGGAUUAAUACCGCAUACGCCCUGAGGGGGAAAGUGGGGGACCGCAAGGCCUCACGUUAUUGGAGCGGCCGAUGGCUGAUUAGCUAGUUGGUAGGGUAAAGGCCUACCAAGGCGACGAUCAGUAGCUGGUCUGAGAGGACGAUCAGCCACACUGGGACUGAGACACGGCCCAGACUCCUACGGGAGGCAGCAGUGGGGAAUUUUGGACAAUGGGGGAAACCCUGAUCCAGCAAUGCCGCGUGUGCGAAGAAGGCCUUCGGGUUGUAAAGCACUUUUGUCAGGGAAGAAAUCCUUUGGGCUAAUACCCUAGGGGGAUGACGGUACCUGAAGAAUAAGCACCGGCUAACUACGUGCCAGCAGCCGCGGUAAUACGUAGGGUGCAAGCGUUAAUCGGAAUUACUGGGCGUAAAGCGUGCGCAGGCGGUUGUGUAAGACAGGUGUGAAAUCCCCGGGCUUAACCUGGGAAUUGCAUUUGUGACUGCACGACUAGAGUGU